rnacentral:rRNA from 1 species
GUGCUAAGGUAGCAUAAUCAUUUGUUUCUUAAUUGGUAGCUGGAAUGAACGGUUGAGCUGAUUUGAUAAGUGUGUGUAGUUAAAUAGAAAAUUAAAGUCAAGGUAAGAAUUCUUUGAUUUUUUAGGGGACGAUAAGACCCUAUAAGCUUGAUAAAUAUAAUAUUGGUUUUGUUUUCCAAAUUAGGUUGUUUUACUGGGGCGGUACUGAUAUUUUAACUAUUAGUUUAUUUUAGAUCCUUAAAAUAUAGAUGAAGCGGAAAAGUUACUCUAGGGAUAACAGUGCAAUAUUUUUGGAGAGAUCUUAUCGAUAAAUAUGUUUGCAACCUCGAUGUUGAAUUA